UAAUUAGGUAUCUGGUGGAUACUUGUCCAAUUGUCAAUCAUACCACAUUGUUAUAUCUUUAUAUUCAGCACUCUCGUCGUUUUUUUUUCUUUGUUCUUUUUUUGUUCAUCGAAAAUUUGAUGCAAUUAAGCUUCAUGUGUUUUGUCUUUUUAAAAUCGCCGCGAUAUAGUAUGUUUGUGCUAAUGUGCCGUGAAGCAACCAACAAUUAAUCAAUCUUUUUUUUUUAAUUUGUUAGUGUUAUGAUAUUGUAAUUUUCACGUUAAUCAUCUUGACCUAAUGUGUUGUGUAUGGCCCAAACAGACGUUACAUAAUUGGGUUGUUCACCGUAAAUAUUUGUUUACAAGAAAUGUUUACAAAUCAGUGGAGCAAUUAAUGAUAUUGAUGGAAUGAUAAGAAAUUUCUAUUUAUCAUAGCCUAAUUUGUUGUAUGCGACCCAAUACGAUUUAUCAUGAUUGGGCUGUUUAUCAUUUAUACUUGUUCACAAAAGAUGUUAUCAAAUCACUACAUCAAUCAUUGAAAUUGAUGGAAUGGUUACAACUCGAUCAUAAUCUAC
rnacentral:lncRNA from 1 species